GACGAACGCUGGCGGCGUGCUUAACACAUGCAAGUCGAACGGAAAGGCCUCUUUCGGGGGGUACUCGAGUGGCGAACGGGUGAGUAACACGUGAGUAACCUGCCCUUGACUUUGGGAUAACUUCAGGAAACUGGGGCUAAUACCGGAUAGGAGCUCCUGCUGCAUGGUGGGGGUUGGAAAGUUUCGGCGGUUGGGGAUGGACUCGCGGCUUAUCAGCUUGUUGGUGGGGUAGUGGCUUACCAAGGCUUUGACGGGUAGCCGGCCUGAGAGGGUGACCGGCCACAUUGGGACUGAGAUACGGCCCAGACUCCUACGGGAGGCAGCAGUGGGGAAUAUUGCUCAAUGGGUGGAAGCCUGAUGCAGCAACGCCGUGUGCGGGAUGACGGCCUUCGGGUUGUAAACCGCUUUCGCUCAUGACGAAGCUUUGUGUGACGGUAGUGGGUAAAGAAGCACCGGCUAACUACGUG
rnacentral:rRNA from 1 species